CUAAUGUUCAAAUAGUAUUUAUUGAUAGAAACAAACAAGUGUAUUGAUGUAGAUUAUUGUAGGACGUUGAAUGUAACAAGAAAAACAAGACAAAAAUUUUAUUAAACAUAGAUUUAGUACAAAACUGUACCAAAUGUUAAUACAUAAUAGUUUGUAUUAAUUUAAACAUUAUGUAUAAAUAGUAUCCAUUUCUAAGAACACGUUUGGAACAAUUGUAUAGUAGCAUGGAAAAUGUUUGAGAUAUCACAAGACUCUGUGGAAUGUGAUGAACGAUGUAUGUAUAUGUACAUGACACUCUCUUUCCAAACAUCUCUUUAGGAAUUUUAAAACAUGGGAAAUUGAUACUAAAAACAAUAGUGCGCCUGAAUGAACCAGUGAAACAAAAAAGUCUGAAACAACUGAUAAAUAAACAUAACAUGUAGAACAUAAAAGCAGCACUAGGCUACAAUGAUUAUUGUGAAAAGGUUAAGAAAUUAUAAUGAGACAUAGAUUGACUCCAACAAAGACAUGAACCAAAGAUCUGCAACCUGGCAAGACUGUCUAAAGGGGACAAAAUCUAAUAUAUGACGACCAUUUCAAGCCACAAAAGAAAAGAGCUUUUAAAGAGCUUCUAAAGAUUUCAAGUUAUCUGACCUAGGGUCACACUAUUACAAGACCAGCCUAAAGGAACCCCUUCCCACAUAUCUCAACACACACUUUCACCAUCAAUUAUAUAUAAAAGCCAACACAUUUUGGAGCCGAGGCUUCUUCCAAAGACAAAGAUUCUGUCUAUUUGCAUCUGUAUCUCCCCAACAAUAGAACUAGUGCUGCUGAUAUGUCAUGUCACCUCUUUCAACAGGUAUUUCUUUAUGAAAUAUACAAAAUAUCAUAUAAAACAGAUCUUUAUCUUUUUUUUGUUGUUGUUGUGUCUAUUGUUUAUUCAAAUGAACAGAAUCUUUCUUCAAUCACUGUUUUGGUUGAAUAACUAACUGUUAUCAAUGGACCUAACUGGGAUAGAGAGAUAUUUACUGCUAAUUAUUUACAUAUUCUAAAAAAGUUUCUCCUACUGCAAUCUUGUCACUCUGUUCUUUACAUAUGUCCUUCACAUUACAUCUUUGAAUUCACAAGAAUCUUAAGAAAAAAUGUGAAUAGUUACAACUGACAGUUGCUACAUUAGAAAUAAUUCAUCCUAUUACUGACAGUUGC